CAGCAGCCGCGGUAAUACGUAGGGCGCAAGCGUUGUCCGGAAUUAUUGGGCGUAAAGAGCUCGUAGGCGGUCUGUCGCGUCUGGUGUGAAAUCCCGAGGCUCAACCUCGGGCUUGCAUCGGGUACGGGCAGACUAGAGUGCGGUAGGGGAGACUGGAAUUCCUGGUGUAGCGGUGGAAUGCGCAGAUAUCAGGAGGAACACCGAUGGCGAAGGCAGGUCUCUGGGCCGCAACUGACGCUGAGGAGCGAAAGCAUGGGGAGCGAACAGGAUUAGAGACCCCUGUAGUCCCUGUCUCUUAUAA
rnacentral:rRNA from 1 species